UAAUUGCGAGCACCACCUACGCCCUACGUCCGACCGCCAAGCGAAUUAUCUGCACGGUGCGUUGCUCCACGCUCUCUACGUGCGUCAAGCGAGGAUAAUGUUUUGAUAAUAAAACUUGUAAUUACGACCGUCGCCAAAUAAAACGCCUACGCGUCGGUCGACAUGUGCACUUGUAGCGGCGAACCUGGACCUAAGUAAGAAUUGUACGAUGCGGAGCUAGGUCCCGCGGGCCGGACUCGGGCGGGGCUGCACCCUAAUGCAAUGAUUCAUAUUAUUCGGUUUGCGGGCGAGUUGAACGUCUUCCAUUAUUGUCAUUCAUCGGAGGAAGUGGGCGGUGAGGGGCGGCGCGGGCACCGUCGGCCCCCGCGCGCGCGGCGAUCCUCAGUCGCUCGCCGACACUCUCGCCGUCCGUACGCGAGAGCCGUGAUGCAACUUGGCUCCGCUUGACGCAUUCGUUCGCGAACCGUGUGUGUGUGCUUCGCGAGUAGCGAGAUCGCAGCCUGAGCCGGAGCCGCGUGCAGUGCACCGUCACCAGUGCGGAGGAUUCUGCGCGAGCCGCCAGCUCAACGAGUGUGCGACGACCGCGGUGUCGGCCCAGCUGAUUGCAGCGUGCUGCCUGUCGCCAGCCGCCAGCGAGCGCACGGUACGUACCGAGAGGCAACAUCGGGUCAUCGAACAAACAACGAGUAAAACGACUUAUUGGAGCAGCGGCGGUUGCCGUUCGGCGAGCGUAGAGGGCGCGGGCGCGGUGACUGUAGCGGGUGCGGGUGGGGGCGGGGG